GACGAACGCUGGCGGCGUGCUUAACACAUGCAAGUCGAACGGAAAGGCCCUGCUUUUGUGGGGUGCUCGAGUGGCGAACGGGUGAGUAACACGUGAGUAACCUGCCCUUGACUUUGGGAUAACUUCAGGAAACUGGGGCUAAUACCGGAUAGGAGCUCCUGCUGCAUGGUGGGGGUUGGAAAGUUUCGGCGGUUGGGGAUGGACUCGCGGCUUAUCAGCUUGUUGGUGGGGUAGUGGCUUACCAAGGCUUUGACGGGUAGCCGGCCUGAGAGGGUGACCGGCCACAUUGGGACUGAGAUACGGCCCAGACUCCUACGGGAGGCAGCAGUGGGGAAUAUUGCACAAUGGGCGGAAGCCUGAUGCAGCAACGCCGCGUGGGGUAUGACGGCCUUCGGGUUGUAAACCGCUUUCGCCUGUGACGAAGCGUGAGUGACGGUAAUGGGUAAAGAAGCACCGGCUAACUACGUG
rnacentral:rRNA from 1 species